UGAGGAAUAUUGGUCAAUGGGCGAGAGCCUGAACCAGCCAAGUAGCGUGCAGGAUGACGGCCCUAUGGGUUGUAAACUGCUUUUAUGUGGGGAUAAAGUGCGUGACGUGUCAUGCAUUGCAGGUACCACAUGAAUAAGGAUCGGCUAAUUCCGUGCCAGCAGCCGCGGUAAUACGGAAGGUCCGGGCGUUAUCCGGAUUUAUUGGGUUUAAAGGGAGCGUAGGCUGUCUAUUAAGCGUGUUGUGAAAUUUACCGGCUCAACCGGUGGCUUGCAGCGCGAACUGGUCGACUUGAGUAUGCAGGAAGUAGGCGGAAUUCAUGGUGUAGCGGUGAAAUGCUUAGAUAUCAUGACGAACUCCGAUUGCGCAGGCAGCUUACUGUAGCGUAACUGACGCUGAUGCUCGAAAGUGCGGGUAUCAAACAGG
rnacentral:rRNA from 1 species